AUUGAACGCUGGCGGCAGGCCUAACACAUGCAAGUCGAACGAGUGGCGGACGGGUGAGUAAUGUCUGGGAAACUGCCUGAUGGAGGGGGAUAACUACUGGAAACGGUAGCUAAUACCGCAUACCAUCAGAUGUGCCCAGAUGGGAUUAGCUAGUAGGUGGGGUAAUGGCUCACCUAGGCGACGAUCCCUAGCUGGUCUGAGAGGAUGACCAGCGCAAAUGGAACUGAGACACGGUCCAGACUCAUACGGUAAGCAGCAGUGGGGAUUAUUGCACAAUGGGGGCAGGCCUGAGGCAGCCAGGCGGCGUGUAUGAAGAAGGCCUUCGGGUUGUAAAGUACUUUCAGCGGGGAGGCGUUACCCGCAUAAGAAGCAACGGCUAACUCCGUGCCAGCAGCCUCGGGAAUUC
rnacentral:rRNA from 1 species